UACGGGGGGGGCAAGCGUUGUUCGGAAUUACUGGGCGUAAAGGGCUCGUAGGCGGCCAACUAAGUCAGACGUGAAAUCCCCAGGCUCAACCUGGGAACUGCGUCUGAUACUGGAUGGCUUGAAUUCGGGAGAGGGAUGCAGAAUUCCAGGUGUAGCGGUGAAAUGCGUAGAUAUCUGGAGGAAUACCGGUGGCGAAGGCGGCAUCCUGGACCGAUAUUGACACUGAUGAGCGAAAGCCAGGGGAGCAAACGGG
rnacentral:rRNA from 1 species